CUUAGGAAACACGUAUCGAUCAAGAGAAAUGCUAUUUGCUGUUUGCUCCAGACCUAAGAUGGAGAAGCCUUCUUGCUUCUUCUUCUCCAAGAAAAUUUUCAUACUACUAACUGGGACUUCAACAAUGGGGACCCAUUUCUCUGCAGUUACACUACAUACACAUACAAUAAAAAAUUCAGUCAAUUGCAAAGGAGCCCAUAAUCAAGAUUAUCCAUAUAACCAAGUAUUUCCUCUCUAACUUAAAAAACACAUUCUUUCUCUAUCCAGGUACUUUUCCAUUCAUUGGUAAUGCUGAUCUAAAAUUCCAAUUCACAAAAACAAAAUUUUACAUCAAGGAUUUGCAGGUUGUUAAAUUCCAGCCCCCUUUAAACUUUUUAAAAGGCUAGAAUAAUUAUCUAAAACUACUUACUAUUGAAACUUUUAAUUCCUUUCAUGAAAGAGAAUUUUCAAAAAGUAGUGUUUUGUCUUCACUAAAUAUUGGUAUCAUUGUCAACUUAGUGAUACACAUGCAUUUCCAAAUGUAGCAUUAGCGUUCUCUUUAUUCCUAACCAUUUCUUAUACAAACCACAUGGUAUACAAUAUUAUAAACAUCUAUAUGUUUUUUAAAGUUGUUGCCAUGUGACCAGGAGGUCACAGGUUCAAGCCUUAGAAACAGCCUUUGGCAAAAAUGCAAGGUAAGGCUGCGUACAAUACACCCUUGUGGUGGGACCCUUCCCCGAACACCGCGUAUAGCGGUAGAUUUAGUGCACCGGACUUCCCUUUUUAUUUAGUAUAAAAUAGCAGUUCAAAUUAACGAAAACAGAAGCGAAGAAACACUAAUUCAUUAGUCUUGACGAACAUGGCACAUGGCCCUUCAUAUUUGCAACAAGAAUAAAGAUCUAUAAUCAAACUGGUGAAGAUAAUUAUAUAAUACUUUUCACUCAAGGAGAGAAAUGAAACCACCAUCUUGACCGUAUGAAACUCACCGUCCUCUUAGGAAACACGUAUCGAUCAAGAGAAAUGCUAUUUGCUGUUUGCUCCAGACCUAAGAUGGAGAAGCCUUCUUGCUUCUUCUUCUCCAAGAAAAUUUUCAUACUACUAACUGGGACUUCAACAAUGGGGACCCAUUUCUCUGCAGUUACACUACAUACACAUACAAUAAAAAAUUCAGUCAAUUGCAAAGGAGCCCAUAAUCAAGAUUAUCCAUAUAACCAAGUAUUUCCUCUCUAACUUAAAAAACACAUUCUUUCUCUAUCCAGGUACUUUUCCAUUCAUUGGUAAUGCUGAUCUAAAAUUCCAAUUCACAAAAACAAAAUUUUACAUCAAGGAUUUGCAGGUUGUUAAAUUCCAGCCCCCUUUAAACUUUCAAGUUCACUUUUGUAUUUUGCUUCUUUUUUUUUCCCCCCUUUUAAUCAAUCAAGAUAAGCUUUGAAGUUUCUUUUUGUUGAAAUUCGUGGUUCAUUUAUAUGAUUAUAUUUUUUGGUUUCCCACAUGUGUCCGGUAUCCACAUUUAUAAGAUUAAUAUUAAUCAAUUGAUGCUUGUUUUCUUGGUUUUCAUGUUAUCCAUCGAAAGACAAUUUCAGUUGAUUUGUACAUUUUCUUAGCACUUGAUGUGUAAACACACAGCUCCUUUCACUAAAAUCACUUUGACCAUAAUGUUAAUCCAUAAGUACAAGUGCACAGGCACACUCCAUUAAUUUUGUACAAAGAAAGGAAACAUCAAGAAACUUCAAAGAAUUUGUGGGUUAGUUCAUUAUAUAAGGCAAUCCAUUUUUGCUUUCAAUUGUGCAACGGCAACCAUAUCAUCUUUAUUCUAUUCAAGGAUGUCAUCAUUUAUAUUUAUCCAUGGUUUUUUAAUUUAUUCCUCAUCCCUAAAUCCUAUUUCUUAAUUCUAUUUCAUUUAAAUCCACCCCAAAUAGGAUUUGUCUAUUUUCUAUUUAAAUAUGUUAUGUAUAUAAUGUUGUUCUGCUCUAAACGAGGUAAGGGUAACGUUUGCGUACAGUCUACCCUCCCCAAACCCCACUUGUGGGAUUACAAUGGGUAUGUUGUUAUUGUUGUCAUAACACGAGAUAGAAAAUUUAGUUAUGCUCUAUAUAAAGAGCAAGAAAUCUCAUCAUUCAUCCAUUCCCUGCAACCUGUCUUGCUUCAGAUUUCUUUGCACCUGAAAUGUGAAAAAACUUAAAAGCAA
rnacentral:lncRNA from 1 species